rnacentral:rRNA from 1 species
CAUCCUCCAAGGCUAAAUACUCCUGACUGACCGAUAGUGAACCAGUACCGUGAGGGAAAGGCGAAAAGAACCCCGGCGAGGGGAGUGAAAAAGAACCUGAAACCGUGUACGUACAAGCAGUGGGAGCCCCACCACUAAGCCAGUGGUGAACUCCACAUACGCAUCCUUUGCUGAUGGCAAUGGUUAACGGAGCGAAAGCGACGUUCAACCGCAAAACAAGCAGAGGGGGCUUAGUGGUGGGGUGACUGCGUACCUUUUGUAUAAUGGGUCAGCGACUUAUAUUCUGUAGCAAGGUUAACCGUAUAGGGGAGCCGCAGGGAAACCGAGUCUUAACCGGGCGUUAAGUUGCAGGGUAUAGACCCGAAACCCGGUGAUCUAGCCAUGGGCAGGUUGAAGGUUGGGUAACACUAACUGGAGGACCGAACCGAC